rnacentral:lncRNA from 1 species
AUGUGUGAACUGAACACAUUCCCACUCCAAACAGUGAUGGCUCUGAAUGUAUCCAAGAACUGGCAGACUGCCUUACUGCCAGCUGCAGAAGCAUGCCCGGCCCCUGCUGCUGCUCAUUUAAGCUGCACAGGAAACCCUGUAGCGCUGAUACAGCUGUGGGUCAUCAGCUCGUCAGUAUCAAAUGCUCAGUCAGGUUGUUUCCUACCUUGUCACUGUCUACAGUGUUCUGGGAUGUCCUGGAUGCAAUUGAGAUGGUGUCUGGUUGGCUGCUGCCGUCUCCCUGACUGUCUCCGUCUUCACCUCCCUCCCUGCAAAAACACGCAGCACAACCAGGAUGAAUGCCAAGGUGUAAAUGUGAAUGGUCUUACUGAUGAGGCACAUCCAGCAAAUGCACACGUGGGACAUUUACAGGACUUUAUGUCUGUGGCAGCCUUUAAAAUAACUGUUGUUUUGCUGAAACCUGUAAUUGGAUCAAUACAACUGGACAUGAAUACAAACACUGAUCUUCAUUCACGUCACAUUCAUCAUGUAAAUUAGAACCCAUUCAUUUCCUCCUGCUUAUCCAGUAAAGGGUCAGGGGGCCUGCAGCCUAUCUCAGCUUCCACAGGGCAAGAUGCGAGGAACACCUACGGCCAGUUUACGGCCUAACCCCACAAACUGCAUGUGUUUGGACUGCAGGUACAAGCCGGAGUACGCCCACACAUAAUGCAAACUCCACACAAACCCAUGAUAUUCUUGCUGUGAGGUUAACACUAAGUCAUCACGUUCAGUGGUUAAAAUAAACGCUGCUUAUUUCUGUAUUUUUCAGCAGCUUUAGUCUUCCACAUAUCUGUGACGGUAAUAACAGGACAUUCCUACCGCUCCCUUUGUGCCCACUCUUAUGUUUCUGUCACAGUGAAUCCAUCAAUGUGUGUGUUUUCCAAGUACUACAGUAAUACAAGUAUGUGUUUCUUCACCUUUUAGCAUUAUUCCUGGGUUUGGUCAGUGCUGGUGUUUUAGGCAGGUGAAGCGGCUCCUUAAGCGCCCCCUUCAGGUGAGUCAUCCUCUCCUGGAUCACCUCCCUGAUGUUCUUAAUCCAGUCUUGUUUAGCUUCCAUACUGGAUGCCUGGAGAAGUCACCGUUUUAAUAUCACAGCUGAUGAAAGCAGAGAGCCCAGACUUUCGUUUACAUUUAAUUUCACAUACUUUCAGCACAGUUUUAUUAUCAGAGGAUGGGGUUCUUCCAGCCCACACAGCAAAUUUACAUGGGUCACCCUCAAUGUGCUCAGUCACCCCCAACUCUGACGUCUGCGGGAAGAGUAAGGAAGAGGGUACAGUUAAAGCAAAUGGACACAAACACAGUGAGAACAUCAGUCAUGGCUGAAACCACCCGCUCACCAGUAGUCUGUUCUUGUACUGGUACUUGGUUCUGCCAGCUGAGUCUUUGAUCUCUUUGCUAAAGACCAAAGAGAACUCAAACAGGAAGAGGUGCCGGUCCCUACCCUUCCUGAUGAGCGAGCGUGGAUCCCAAACCUGAAAACUGUCCUGCAAGAUCAGCUCACCCUGCACCUCCAGGUUCUCCUCAAAGCCUACAGAAGAGCCAAGCAUGAAUAACCCUGUUUCACAUCAGUGCUAGGAGGAAGUGCGGCGAGGACGGUAUCUUACCCUCUAACAUGGCGAGAUGCAUGGCGUCGUUUGCUCUCUUAGGAACGCUGAGCAUCACCUCCAAACCGUCUUUGAUCUCUCCCUUUCCCUCCUCACAGCAGGACAAUAACUCCUGCAGGAGGACAGGACGAGAUGUUAAAACUGAUGAAAGGGGAUCGUUUGUCUGAUCUAUAAAUAUUUGGACCAUUUAAACCACACGUUCUAGUAGUUCCCACUCAGUGCACCCACACUGUUUCUGUUUUUUAAUGGUUGAGUUAUUUCUGUGUGUGUUGCUGUAUGUUCACCUUUAGCAGUAGUUGGUACUUGGUGAUCCUCUGGACUGGUUUGAUGAGGUAGGAGGAGAUUGAGUUAGCCAGUCCUCGUCUCUGCUGAAUCUCCUGCACGUGCACACAGCAGAAAUGUGUAUACAUAUUAAAUGUCCAACGCUUGUAAUGGUGGAAACAGAAACGUCAGUCCAACAGCACCAUCUGCUGACAGAGGAGCAAUUACACAAUGUGUGUGCCUACAGGGAGAAAUCACAGCAUGACACCGAGUCUAUUUAUCUUCCACAUGUGCUCGACAAAUGAACGCGGCACACUGAAUGUCACACACCGAGUGUGUGUUUAUAUAAAAAGUAUAAAAAGUAACUGCGUCAGGUACACUGAAGGAGGAUGUGUGCUUUGAAUGGGGUUAAAAAACUGUGACCAUUCAUGAAAAACUUUAUUAAUACUGUUUACUUAAAGAAAACUUUGACAUAUUUAAGCGGAGCCUUCUCAGGGCGGUUAAUGAAUGGGGAAAUAAAAAAUGUCACACAGACUUUUACGAGUCAACAAGUGCAAAAAAAGAGGAUGAUUGGUGGCCCGAUUUUAAAGGAGCCCAGAACACGCCAGCUAAUGCUGUAAAAAUGCUAAACAAGCAUUUGCAAAUGGAACUGACAAAUUUGACUCGUUCAUACAUAAAGUGAUAGCAGCAAAAAGUUGAAACAGUAUCAAGCUUCCCCCUCUCUUCAUCAGCUCGAGUGUUUGAAGCUGCAGUCAGCUGCUGUAUGUUUUCACAAGCUGUUCAGUAACUAAGAACUAACUCAGCGGCCUGCAUCGAAGCCAGUUUAACAUAUAUCAAAUAUAAGAAUGAUGUUACCUUAAUAAAUAUGAAGUUA